CAGGGGCCAGUGUAACUGAACCAAGCCAGGAAACAUACGCUGUCAUCACAAAACCCAGGAAAGAGAAAGUGUCUGUAGAUUCCAGAGUAGCUGAACCAAGUGAGGCAACAUAUGCUGUCGUCAAGAUAGCAAGACCCAAGGAGAAAAAAGAUGAGGAGAAACCGUUGGUUGUUUACCACACCUUAAGCCUGGCUGACACUUAACUAUUACAUCCAGCAUGAAGAGGUUACUGAGAGCAGAGACACCUGACUGAAGGACGGAUGAGAAACUAUUUAAAGUUAUACAACCACACAUGCAGCUGUUACCACGAUGCAGGAGCCUUUAAUUAACAUGGACCGUCAAACUUCAAUCAAACUAUUGUGAUUUGUAACAUUGUAUGUAUUAAGAGCUCUUAAGAGCAGCAGUUGAGGAGCUGUCUGGGUUAAUGACAAAACAUAAUAACACAUUUCUUUGCUUAUAAGAAAUGUAGUGACAAACCUUUAAAGAUGUUGCAGGUUAUGUGCAUUCAUAAAGAAUGCACGUAAAGAAGGCACAUAACAAACAAUGUGCAGCUUGUUAUGAAGGGGAAAUGAUCUAAACAGACAUGAUUUGUCAUCAUCAUCCUUCAAAUGAGAGCGAGACCUUCAGUUCACCUCACAGCAUCAGUGUCUGUUAAAGUAGAGCAGUGAAACCACUCAGUUCUGUCUGU